CCCAUUUAAUACUCCAUUUAAGUGGAAUACAUGUGUCACCGUCCGGUUCUCCCCUGGUGAGUGGGAGACAAACUCUGCCAAGCUUUUAAUUCUCUUCCCUCGUGAUCCGUGCAGUAUCAGCAUAGCAGAGAACCCCUGGGAGUGGAAGUCAGGUGUCACGUUGGAGUUGGCCGACCGUUCGGACUGGAGGCGGUAUUUAAGGUAAGAAUGAAGACCUGAUGCCACUUUUGCAUGCAACCUUCUUCUUCUUCCUCAAACUCCAUCUUCUGAAAAUCUCAAAUUCUCCUCCUUCUCUCUAAAACCUCCCUACCUUCUCUCUAAAAAUUCUAACCCAUUCACUGUUCCGAUCACCCUUCAGAUCACACCUGAAGACUCCUGGUGGUCUCCCCUUUCACUUAAACCGUCCGGUUUUCAAGUUGGCAUCUGAUCUUGGGGAAACUUAGAAGAAUAGUUCAUACCAACUUAUUUUCAAGACUUAGCUGGAAUUAGAGGUAAGGGAAGCUUAUAAAAUUUAAUUAUGAUUUUCUGUAUGGUUUGAAUAUGUGCCUAAUUUAAUGCAUGUUUGAUAUCUAAAGUAUGUUGCUUGAUUUCUUAUGAUUUGAAAUAUGGUAUGUUGUUGUAUGAGUUGUAUGAUAAGUAUGAACUAUGGAUUCUGCAUUGAUACAAAUUUGUGUGAAACUUAGAGAAAAUAUGCAUUUGAGAUCGAAGGUCAUUAGGACCGUUCGGUCUUCCCUAUUCCGUUCGGUUUGUUCGGACGGAUCGGCCUAGUAUGUUUAUUAGACUUAGUUGGUCUCCUCUAAUUUCAUUAUUGAUAGUUACUUAAGAAUGCUGGUCAUAAACCAAGCGUUCGGCCUUACAAGUGUUCGGUCUUAGGCUAAUACUUAAAUGGUAACAUUUGCAACCCUAAUAUUCUUCCUUUUGAAACCGUUCGGUCACUUAAUUACUGAAUGGUCUAGUGAACCUUUAAUUAUUGAUGCAUUCGGUUUACUUGACUAAAGUCCUUUACUCCCUUAAAGAGUUCAUUCUUUCUCAAUUCGUUCGGCCUGAUAAGUGUUUGGUCUUAGACCAACCCUUUGUUUAUGUUAAUGCCUAUUUUAUGAUAUUCUUGCCAAACCGUUCGGAUGACUAUCCAUUAUCGUCAAUCUCUGAGUCAUGGUCUCAUUCUCAUUGCUAAAACUAUCUUAUCAACCAUUUAGCAUUCUUCUGUUAUUCAAUUAUACCUUUGAUAUGACCGUCCGGUCACUUACUUGAAUUCUUGAGACUCAGCUUCCCCUUUUGAUUUAAAACGUUCGGUCACUAAUGGUUAUGAUUCGGUAUUGGAUAUCUGGUAUUCUCUCAACGUCCUAACAGUUUGGAAGUAAUAACGAACCUUGAUUGAAUUUGACUAAGUAAGAGAAUUCCACUGGCGGAAUNACUCAUGANUUGGUAUUGAUUGGUAAAGUAUGAAUGUGGGAAUGACUCAGGUGUUGUCCUUGAUCCUGAUAUUCCGUGAGGACGCUUUCUCAAGUAGAGAGAGGUCCCUCAUGCGUGGGAAUGACAGGAGGUCCGCGGUUAUUUGAGUAGAUAACCGUUUGAGGGCUAACCUCGGGUGGCAGCUGAUCAGAGAGACAAUUACUACACCACACCGGGUGCUAGGGACGACCGAGCUACAUGUUCAUACCGUCCGGACAGUGUCUUAGAGGUCGGUCAUGAUUAAAGAAAUGUGGUAUGCAUGUAUAGGAAUUGUAUGUUGCAUGAUUGAUUGGUUUGUAUUGUACGUUUACUUGUAUGAUGAAUUGAUGAAUUAAAUUUACAUAAGCUUACCCUUAUCCUUUGUGUCUUUGCCUAUGUUGUCGUUCGGUAUCUGACCGUUCGGUUAUUCUCUUCAUUGCAAUGAUCAUCCUUUUUGGGUGUGAGCAGAGGAUAACUUAGAAGUUACCUUGGAAGCUGCUUUGGAGGACACGCUGGAAGACGCAGUGGAAGCCGUGCCUGAGAGUUAUGCAGGACCGUCCGGUCCUUAGUAUAGUUGUUCCUCUUGUUUUAUAUUUUCGUAGAUGUUAUGUAUAGGGAACUUUUGAUGAUUGACCGUUCGGUCAAUGAACUUAGUGUUAGACCGUUCGGUCUAACUUGUAAAUAUUAUACUUUAUUAAACUGCUGUACAGUUUUAAAUUGAAUGCUAUACUCCUAUCUCUUUCACCUCUCGGUUUAUUCACUACUGUUCUCCUUUAUUGUUCAUGUUAACUCCUGAAAAUGAAUUAUAGCUUUGGUUAUAUUUAUUGGGAUGUUACAGAAACAUUGUUUGGUUUAAUCUGAAUCAAAAUACCAUCAAUUCUUGUUCAAUUUAAUUUAAAUCAAUUCAAUUUUAAUUGAAGGCUGAUUAGUUUAUUUAAAUUUGUGGAUUACAAACAAAUUCAUAUUUACAUGUAUUAUUUGAAUUUUUUAGGAUGAGUAUGUACAUGUAUAUUAAUAUAUCUACUACUCAAUAAAAAUGAAAAUGUCACAAAUUUCAUACUCUAAGGACAAAAAUAGGUAUGAUUUUUACUUCAAGAACCGUCUAGCUUCAUUUCCAUUCCCAUUUUUGGCUAUGCCAUUGUUAACUUAAUUUUGGUCAACUUGUUAUGUGUUUGACCUCAAGAAAAACAUCAUUUUAUUAUUUUCAUCAAGUCAUUAUUAAGUCAGUUUUAACUAAGAAAUCAUUGAUUUAUCUUUAUAAAAAAAAAUUAAUAACUAAGAAAUCAUUGAUUUAUCUUUAUAAAAAAAAAUUAAUUCACCCUUGAUUAAAACAUUUUUAACUAUACAUGAGUGAAGUUGAUCUUAUUUGAACUCAAUUAAUUUAUUGUUGACUUAACCUUGAUCUAUGCAUCAUUAGUUUCAGCUUAAUUAGGAUUUUGUCAUUUCAAUAUCAAUUGUUUAUUUUCUUUCCCUUAAUCUCACUUAAGAAAUAUUCACUUCAACCUCACUCAAAGAAUCUAACUUUGUCUUGUGUAGGUCAUCUUAAAUUAGAAUUAACCUAAACAUCUUUUGAUAAUUAUAAAGUGUCUGAUAGGAAAGAAAAACUAAUAUUGUAUUAUGAUAAAAGUAACUUAUAGAGAAUGACAAACCUAGUCUAUAUAGAAACUAUAGAAAAUCCAUGCAAGGUCAAACAAACGUACAACGAACACAACAACAUAAUGGAAACAAUAAUAAUACUUUGACACAUUUUUGAAUUUUAACAUUCAUUUGACACGGUGUGAGACCCAUUUUUGCUGAAUUUUCAGACCAUCAUAGUUCAUAAUUUUAAAAUUUAAUGACAAUUAGCGUGUCAGAUGAGUAUUUUUGCCACUUUGGCAUGUCAAGGUACUGCUACUCUAAUACAAAGCAUUAAUAUGGUUAUCAUGCACUAGUGAACUUAAGGUGGGUGAUGUAAAGUAACUAGCUUAAGUUUAGUACAAUAGCAGAUGUAAGGAGCUCCUUAAAUAGGCUUAGUAAAAAUGUCAGCUACUUGAAACAUGAGAGGAAUUUGCUUGACAAGGAAUUGAUAUUUUUGUACUUGAUCAUGAACAUAAUGUAUUCAAAAUGUUCGUGAAUGAAGGACAAGAUUUGAGUAAGAAGCAUUGCACUUUGGUUGUCUAAAUAAACCAUAGUUGUGUGAUGAGAAAGUCAUAAUUCAUGCAAAAGAGAAAGAACCCCUUUGAUAUCUGUGACAACAAACGCAAGGCUUCGAUAUUCUGCCUUAGUGGAGCUCCACGACAACACCUUUUGCUUUUUAGAUGACCAUGAAAUAAGGUUUGAGCCUAGAUAAUGCAAUAGCAAGAAGUUGACUUCCAAUCAUCAACAUCUAAUCCCUAAUCAACAUCAAAUAAGCCUUUGAUGGUAAGAUGAGAGCAUAGAUUAAUGAGAAGACCAUGAGUAUUGGUUCCAACUACUUAUCACAUAAACCUUUUAACUACUUUCUAAUGGUGUUGUUGCGUGAACUGGCGUACUUUGUUCACGACAAAAGGUUUUGGUCUUGUAAAGGUUUGGUACUAGAGAGCUCCCACUACUUGGCGAUAGAGAGAAUAAUCAUCGAAGGAAAACAUUUCAUCAGCAAAAAGUUUGAGCGAUGUUAUCAUUAAAGAAGGUUAAGGAUUGACGUUAAGCAUUUUGACUUUGGUAAGAAGAUCAUGAAUUUAAUGAGUUUGAAUUAGAUGAAAAGAGCCAAUGGUUGUCCAAUUAACUUCAAUCCCAAGGAAAUAAUGAAGUCUACCAAGAUCUUUAUGAGUAAAGGUUUUAUUCAAUGUUGAAUUAAGACGAUUGAUAUCAAACUUUGAUUUUACUGUAAUAAGUAUAUCAUCGACAUAUAUGAGUAUAUAAAUGACAGAGUUCACCGUAGUUUUAAUGAAAAGAUAAGGAUCACUUAUUGUGGGAGUGAAACCAAGACAAGCCAAAGUUGUGCUGAUUUUUUUAUACUAGUCACGAGGUGCCUGUUUGAGUCCGUAGAUGACUUUGUUAAGUUGACACAUCUGAGUGAAAUUAGAUAAGAAAUCAAGUGGUUGUUCCAUGAAAAUAGUUUCAUGAAGGUCUCCAUGUAAGAACAUGUUAUUGAUGUUAAGUUGAUGAAUGCAGUAACGUGAAGACAUGACAAGGGGAUAGGAUGAUGUAGAUCAUGGUGGGUUUGAUGACAGGGAUGAAAUUGGUGGAGUAUUCAAGACCUUCGAUCUGUGUACAAUCGCAUGCAUCCAAAGAUUUUGAGUUGUAUGGAUGAAGUAGAGGAAAAUACGUGCACCCAAAGAUUUUGAAAACAUAAUCUAUUGGUUUGUUAAACAAAACUUGAUUAGGUGUUUGAUUAUUUAAAAUAGGUAGGCAAGUUAUUAAUAAUGAAAGUUUUUGCAAGAAAGGAAUGUCCCUAGUAGUUUAAAGGGAGCGAAGAAUGGACGUUAUAAAUGCACCGUAUUCAUUUGGAAGGUCGGAUAAAAUGGCUUCAAUGUGUUCUUCAUUUAUGACAUGAGAUCCAAUGAUAAGAAGGGAGUCUACAGUGUGUUUGAUGUCCAAAGCCACAUUGUAAUGGACUUAUUUUUCUUGUUGGUCUUGAGUUGUGUUUCUUUAUUUUGGCUCUAGAAUGGCUUGCAAAAUAAAUUAUGAGUUUGGUCUAUAUUUCAGCAAUGAGAGCCAACCAUCUUGGUGAGCAUCAUGUUGGUCAUAGAUGUAAAGAGCCAAACAACUAUUAAUUGAUCUUAGUGUUGAUAUUGAGAAUACAAUGGAUUUAAAGGUGGAUGAAAGAUAUCAAGAUGGAACAACAUAUGCAUCAUGAAAGUGAAAAAGAUCAAGAUUGUAGAGGGUGGCAAGCACUUGGUGUUGCCAAACAAGGAAAUUCUCUUCAUCUUAUUUGGUAGUGAUAAGUAUGGGAAAAGCGCGAGGAGUGAAGGAUGCAGUGGAGGAAGAAAAGUUUUGUGUGGUAGAGUUGGGCUGAGAACUUGUAGAGGUCAUGCUGUCUAAGCUCAUGAUACCAUGACAAAGAAGUGGACUUUAAGCCUAACUCAAUCAUACAAAACUAGCUUGUAAGAUGAGGUUUGCACCUACUUAUAUAUUUUAAAUUGGUCUUACCUCUAGAUGAUGUAGGACUUCCAACAAACUCUCUCACGCUGAGGUAUAUACAGUUUAAGUGUGAGACUAAACGUUAAAUGGAUGGUUCGAUAAUGAAAUGAUAACGAGUGAAAAAUAUGUCCAACAAAAAACAAAUCUCACUAUGAUAGACUAUAAUAAUGACUAUAAUACCAUGACAAGAAAAAGAAAUUAAUGUUGUAUUAUGAUAAAAGUGACUUAUAUAGACAAACAAACAUAACCUAUAUAUAAGUUAUAGAAAAGCCAUGCAAGAUCAAGCUACAACAAAAGUAACAACACUACAUAAAGCAUUAAUAUGGUUAUAAGAGAGAGAUAAUUGUCUAUAUUUCUCUCAAUCUUAAAGUCAUUACUUUAACUACAUAUCCCAUCGUUUGAAUAUUCACAUUAUCGCAACAUUCACAUUAUCGUUCAAGUAAUAAUGAUCUAUGCUUGUAACCUUUAUAAAUCACUUAAUCAUUACUUCAACAACGAAAUACCACUUAAAUGAAAUCAAGCUCAAAAAUAGUCAUUGCCAAAAAAAGCUAAGAUGAAAACAAUGAAAACCAUGCUUACAUACUUCCCAAUUCCUAAAAUACCUCUUUUCCAUUGCUUUCAAACUCCAAAUUAUUCUUUUAUAACAUAAACACCUCACCUUAUACCAAUUCAUUCUAAAAAUUAUGCAUACACAUCUUUCAAUACACUUUUAAAUAUGAUAAUCUAGAUCCAUUUAUUGUAUACAUUAAAUAGACAUACAUAUUAACUCCUUGACACUCUAUAAUAUACCAAAAUAUAGGCAAUUCAUCAAUUAUCUAUCAUACAUCAAUAAUAUCUUUUCAUAACCAAUUACCAAAAAAAAAAAAAAAAAAAUCCUCUCUUAAUAAUAAUAAUAAUAUAAUCUAUUACUAAAUUUCUAUUAUAAUCACUUCACUAAACUCCUCCUCUUACUUCCUACUUAGCUUUAAAAUAUGAUAAAAGCCAAAAUCUUCUCAAGAUUUAAUGAGAAUUUAAAUAAAAGAAUUUCACUAAGAUGAAAUUUUAAAUAAAACAAAACAUAAACAUCUAAUUUUUAUUUAUAAUUUUUAAAAAUAUUUACAUAUUAAAAAUUUAUAUCAAAAUAGCUAUAAUCUUAUUUAAUAUAUAUUUAAUUGGAUUUGAACUGUAUUAAAAUUUCAUAUUCAAAAUUUUAAGUAGACUAAAGGUCAAUUAUUGUGAUCAUAUAACAAAUAAGAUAGUACAUUUUAUUUUAAUUUUGGUUUAAACUCUUUUUUGGUCCCUAAGUUAAGCUCUGAUAUUUAGUUUAGUCGUCGCUUUUAAAAAUGUCAACCUUUAGUCCUUAUCAUAUGAAAAAUGUAUCAAAUCAGUCCUCAUGACAACACUUAAUGAACAAUAAAUCACAAGUUUUCAUACCUAGAUAUCCAAUAUUUUAUGAUUUGUUAACAUAAGGUGUUAUGAACAACAAAUCACUUAAUGAAAAACUUGUGAUUUGUUAAGGAAUUGAAAAACUUGUGAUUUGUUAACGAAUAAGACUGAUUUGAUACAUUUUUCAUAUCAUAAGGACUAAAGGUCGACAUUUUUAAAACCGGGACUAAACCGAACAUCAGAACUUAACUUAGGGACUAAAAAAAGAUUUAAACCUUUAACUUUUAGGGAAUUAGUGAAAAAAAAAGGAAAAUUAUCUCACUUUUUUUAUUUAUUAAUAUAAAAUUAUCUAAAUUAAACCUGACUAAAAUAUGUUUAGUUUGACUUAAAUAAACUAUAUUUAAUCUAACUUAUAUUUAGAAAUUUUACUUUUUUUUAACCAAACUUAACAUGAACCGGUGAUAAAUCAUAUUAUUUAUGAAUUUCAAUCUAUUUUAACAUUUCUAUAUUUAUAUUUAUAGUAAUCAUCAAUAUUAUUAUUUUCACGUUAUUACAACCAUUACAUAAUUAAUAAUUACUGUUAUUAUAUUAUUUUAUUAUUAUUAUAACUAUAUUUUUCUGUUAUUAUUUAUUAUCUUAUUAUUAUAUUAUUAUUUUAUUAUUAUUAUUAUUAUAUUAUUAUUAUUAUAUAUUAAUAUUAUUAUUAUUAUUACAAUAAUUCUUAUUAACAUCACCAUUUACAACUACAACUACAAAUAUGAUUUUCGUAAUCAUUAUCAUAUUAUAAUUAUUUUCAAUAGCAUUUAUUUAUUAUGUAUAUUUUAUAUAUAUAUAAUUUUGUGCUAACAAAACACAAAAUAAAAGACUCAUUAAUAUAUAUUUUUAUUCUUUGGUCAUAUCUUUUAUCAUCUAUCUUGGUUAAAUUCUAAUUACCAAAAAUGACCCUUUAAAGUUAUUUUGUUAUCCUAUACAUGUUCUUUAUUAUUUUUGUCUCGUUAAGAAUGAAAGAUGAAUGAUUGAUUUUUUUCAAAUGAUAAUUAAUGGUUGAAACUAAUUUAUGUACCUUUUUCCUCUGCUUGGAUGCAUCUUACCAUAACUUUUUGUAGUAUUUUAUGACAAUAAGUUGAAGAGGAGUGUGCAAAAGUAAAGUGCAAAAGCACUGUUACGUUGUUAAUUAAUUAAUAAUGAGAAAUCAUCAUUCUAUCAAAUAUAUGAAAUAACAACUAUUAAAAAAAAUACCUUUUUAGAAACGUGGAUCUCUUCAAUCAUCAUUAUUGCUCUUACCAAACCCGAAAAUCCAAAGGAAGAUUUCACAAAAUCUUAUGUAAAUAAACUGGGAUGAGAAAACAAUAUGCUAUCAGGAGUAUUAGUGGAUAAAAUUUAUGAUGAAUAAUUAUUAUUUGUAAAUAUUUAUUAUCUAUAUAGAUAAUCAGUAGUGAUAUUUUAAUAUAUGUUUCUAAACAUCGGUCUAUAAAUAUUUGUUAUUCGAAAAAUUAAAAAAGAAUAGUUUAUAUUUUUAAUUAAAUUUCUAAAAAUAAAAUAAAAUUAUAUUUUAUUAGAUUAAAUUUAAUUAAAAUUAAAUUUUAAUUUAUAUUUAAUUAAAUUUUAUAUUACAUUUUAUUUAUAUAUAUAUAUAUAUAUUAUAAUUUUAUUUAAAUUUUAUUUUAAAAAUAUAUAAAAUAUUUUUUUUUACGAGUUUUAAAAUAUUCGUAGAUAUUUUUUACCAAAAAUAUUGAUACGGACACAAAUUUAUCUGAUAAGUCGGAAUACGGAUAAGAAUUAUUAUUGGCUAACCUGAUCUGAUCUGACCCGAUCCGUUAUCUGUAGAUAAACAUUCUUACUUUCCUCCUUUCUUUUCGGUAUUUAACUUGCAAAAGCAAUUGAUAAGAUGUUUACAAAAUGAGUUUAAGAUUCAGUGAACAAUAUUUCAUGCUGGAUAGUUCCAUUCGAUCUAAAAAAUGUUCUCACAAGCUCUCUACCCUCACUUUUUUAUUUUCUAUAUGGAUUUCAGUAAAUUUAAUUACUAAUAUUAUUAAAAUUUAUUGCAAAAUUAAGUAUCUCUUACAUGUGAAAAUUCUUAGUUAAAAUAUUCAAAAGAAUUUAUAUACAGUGUCGUCUAUGCUUUCGUCAUUAAUUUGAUUAUUUUAUGAUAAUCAUUAUUUAUGUUCAUCACUUUUUUAUGUUUCCAUGACUAACAUUUAGGCUCUGUUCCUUUGUAAUGAUUUGAGGGAGAUGAUUUGGGGGAGAUGAUUUAAAUGGAUUUGAGUAGAUUUGAGGGUAAUUUUUUUUGUUGUUUUUUUGAGUGGAUUUGUGGGUAAUUAAGAGUGGAUUUGGAAGUAAAGUUUAUGAAAAUUAGUGUAGGAUUUUAUUGAUGUGACAAAUUUUAAAAAUUUGUUUAAUUGAUAGAAAUUGAAGAUUACCAAAAUACCCCUAGUUAUUAAAGUAAUAUAAAAUGAUAAUUGUUAAAAUAUUAUAUUUAAUUGUAAAAAUGUUUAUAAAGAAUAAAAAAUUAAAAAAAUAUAUUAAAAUUAAUUUUUAAAAGGUAAAAAAAAAUUAAUAAAUUAAAAUAAUGAUUUUCAAUAAUUAAAAUAAUUAUUUUUAUAAGACAGUGUAUUAAAGUUAAAUUUUAAUUUUGAACAUUGUAUUUUUUACAUCAUAUUUUAAUUCUUAUAAUAAUUAAAAUACUAAUAAUGUAAUAAUAUUACUACUCUAUUUACCGUAAGUGCAUUACAUAAUUUGCUGUCAAAUUAAUAACAAUGCAGGUCCAUGUGUUGAUGAGGAAUGAGUUACACGCCUCUACAACAUGCAAUUGAAAUUUUCCAUUUGAAUCUCAAAAGUCUAUCUUCAAUCUCACAGCUUUCAGCAAUGCAGUGACGAAAGUGAAGGAGAGUGAAGUGAAGGAGAUGGAUUUGGGGCAGAAGAGGAGAAAGUGUGGUUUUGGGAGCAAGAGGUUGAAGAAGGGUAAAUCAGAGAUUACACCCUAAAUCCCUGCAAAUCUCUUCAUUCUUGCGGGUGAUGAAAAAGUGAUACAUCCCGCAAAUCACAGCAAAUCGUUCCUUGCAAUUCCUCUGAAGCGAACAUAACAAUUAUCGCAUUUCUUCGCUCACAAAUACACGUGAACAGUGAAAUCAACCGAAACGAACACAACAUUAGUCAUGUUAAACAUGUGCAUCAUGCAUCCCUUAUUCACUACUGAAUCUCUUUUGUUUAAUUAACCCCAAUGAAGAAGAAUAAAUCAAAUUAAUUUCAUUGUAUCCAAAUUUAAUUUUUAAAUUCAAGUAUCCAAUCAUUAGAGUUGAAUAAUAUGUUCAUAAAAAUUAAGAGUGAUAAUUAAAAUUGUUUAGUUAUUAUUGUUAAGAGACGAAUUAAACUAACACCCAAUAUUUGUUAAAAAUGGUUUAAAAACAUAAAAGGUUUUUAGAUGAAUACUCAAUCUUCUCUCCCAUAAACCACAAUAAUUUCAUACAUUCUUAUUCAUAUCUCCCCAUAAGUAGAGAACAACUAACAAAAUUCUAGUAUGAAUAUUAAUCUCCAUAUUAAUUUUUCUAGCAUUUAAAGUGCAUGAGACGACAGCUACACUAAAUUACAUAAAUUUAUUGAAUUAAAAAGGUUCAAAAAUAUUUUUGAAAUAUGAAAUCUUCCUUAAAAACCCUGUUAAUACGUCUAAAAAUUAACCAAAGACUAUAAAAAUAAUUUCAAUUUAAAUAUUAUUAUGUAUUACCAACGAAUUAUUUUUAAAUAGAAAAAUUUAAUCACAAAAGUUUAAUUAAUUUUUAUUAAUUUAUAUUCAUAAAUACUAUUAUUUAUCAUUAUUAAUUGUAAAUAAAAAGGUAUAGAAAAUAACAAAUAUUAUCAUGCUUGUUAAGCAAAGGUAUAGUUGAUAACAACGCAAUUUUGGAAGUCACUAUAGAUCGUCUUCAAAUUUAAAACUUUUUGUAACAUCAUCGGAAAUCUCCAAUAAUAUAAAUUAUUUAAUAAAUUCAAAGGUUAGUUAGUACUUAAAAAAACCAAAUAUAAAAUUAAUAUGCAAAUCAAUACAUAAAUUCUUAAAAAAAAUUUUCUAAAACAAAUACAAUUUAUAUGAAAUCCAAGAUAACAUUUUCUCUCUCUCAAGCGUCUUUAAUACUUGAAAUAUCUACAUCUGUCUUAUAUAAUACAAAUGUUAUAUGAUCAUCGUCACACACACAAACAAGUAUGAAUAGGCUAACAAAAUAAACAUCAAAACCAAUACAUCAUUUAUAUCUCAAUCGUCAAGUCCUUUUCAUGAUCCCAUUACACCAAAUAGCUUCAAUACACAAUCAAACUAUAACAAACAAUACAAUAACCACCCAUACAUUCCUUUAAAAGGAAUCGUGAUCAAUCCAUUAGCUUUACACAACCUGUCCAUUCAAGGCAACUCGUGCCUGUACUAGCUAUCUCUAUAAACGUAUAUCAACUUUCAUACUUCAUCGCACCAUUCCUACUUACCAAAACAUGACAAUUUAAGUGGUCCUCCAUCGUAGCUUCAGACCUAUCCUCUUGCUCCUCAAGGCUUAUGGAUAAAAACUCUAAGUUGCACACAUUAGUACUAAUCUCAACACGAGUUGGAAUCUACAAGCGAGACAUUCAUCACUUUCUAUCCCAUUGCAAGAGGAAAGGACAACACUCGAAUCUUAGUCUCUUCUAUCGCCCAUCAUGGAUGAAGAGACUCAUAUCUUCUACCGCCUCUUAAAGACAAAGAUAUCCACUUGUCUACUCCUCCCAAGAGGAAAUAUGACUACCUUUCUAUCUCUUCGAAAGAGGAAAGACACAACCCCAGAUUAACAAAGUAUGGAAAGAAGACAUAACUAAUGAAAUAACCACCAUUACCAUACCUCAUGGUUAGUACAACAAUGUGACAUUCACCCUAAUAAUAGAUAUUUAUCACAGAAAUCCAUUUCACCUACAUCUCAUCCCUUGAAUUUCAAUCCAAAAAAUCACUUAUCACAUUUGUUCUGUCAUAUCCUAACCAUUUGGAAAUCUCACUAACAACAACCACCCAACAAUAAACAAUAACCCCUAGAGACCUUAAUCGGUCCAAACAAUAAUGAAUAUCUUCAUCACCACCAACUAUAAUAAAACAACUGCUACAACUUAGCUUGGAUAGCCCAUACUAUCAUACUAACACACAUAGAACAAUCCAACGAUUUGAUCCUCAAUCAAGAGAUAUUAGCAUCAACCAAGUACUAAACAUAACAAACAAGAACGCAAAAGCUAUAAUUAGUUCAAACAGCCACCACCAAUGUCAAAUUUCACAACAUGAAACCAUCUUCAUCACUAACAAUGAUAUCCAAGUGGACAAGCAAUGUAAUGUUCACACACAUCCAAAAUCCCACAUUUAAAAGGUCACAAUGUGAAUACCCAAUAAUGGACAUGUUCAAAUCACAUAGAGUCAAUAACAACAUUUCAAAGACAACAUUUUCAAAAUUAGUUUUACCAUACCAUAACACAUCAUCCUUCUGACUCUUAUACUCGUUUCAAGUUAAACACACUAUGAACAAAAAAGAACAUACCGGACAAUAAAUAACUACUCAUGAAUCCAAUAAAAUAAUAAAUUGAUUGAAUUCAUUCAAUAAAUUAUAAGUCAUUUAACAUUCCAUUAUUUUACAAUUUCAAAUAUUCAAGGAAAGUAUUACAAGUCCCCGACAAUCAACCCAUUCCCAUGCAUUUAGACAAAUAAUAAAUAAAAAUCAUUUCAUUUAUACAAUCACAAUUCAAAGAGAAUUAACUCCCCAUACCUAACUCAGUUACCAUUUACUAAGACGAUUUCUUCACGUCUUACAUUAUACCUAAACUUUUUGACUACAUUUUACUUUCCUUGUACUCUCCCAAUUGUUUGGAUUUUCUAGCCGUUAUAUGUUUUUUCAUUUCUCUCUUCCAUGCUAAUUGACAAAAGCCUAAAAAUCUCCAAGCUACCCUUAAAUCACUCUGCCUUUGCUCCUUUUCCUUUAAAACCCUCAUCCUUUCCUCUAAGGUUUCAUAUCACUAAAAAUAAUUCAUGUGUUAAGAUUUUUUUUAUAAGAUGGUAAAUUUAAUUUAUUAUAAUAGAUUUACUCUUAAAUAAUAUAUCUUCUAAUUUGGAUUCAGGUAAAAUAUAUAAUUUAUUUUUAUAAAAAAAUAUUAAGCAUGAAAAAGGUUAAAAUAACUUUUCAAGAUUAUCUAAGGAAUAAAUUUUUAAUGGUGUCUUUAACUUUUUUUUCUCUUUUACAGUAUAGAUCAUCUUAGUACUAAAAAAAUGAAAGUAGCAAGAUAGACUUGUGAAUAAACAGCUUCUGAUUAUUUAAUUUUUUUUAAUCAAACACAUAAAAAAAACUACAUUUUCAAUAAAAAAAAAUUAAAUUUUAUUUUUAACAUAAAAUUUAUACUAUGCACUAAAUUUUGUUAGCCAUAUUACAUUUUCUUCGUCAAAUAGGUAAGAGAAAGAACUAACAUUAUCUUUUUCGCUAAAGCCUCUCAAAUACAAAAUUAUCGGUAAUCUUAUGCAAUGUUUUAAUUUAAAAAUAAUUACAAUUAUUAUAAAAUACUUUUUUAUACAUGAAAAAAGAGAGUAAUAAUUUAUAUUUAUUUAAUCGACUGACCAUAAUUAUUUUUAAUUGAUGCCAUCUCUAUAUUUUUAUGAAUAUUUAUAAAAGUAUCAAACCUUUAAUUUGUUUUUGGAAGAUAAAAUAUGAUAUUUUAUGGAAAAGAAUAAACUAAAUUAAGAAGGUUUAUUGAGGAAUCUAAAUCAAGAGAGUGACAUGUAGUUGUGAUGCAUUAGAAACCUGAGCAACAGAUAUGGUUGAUAGUCAUGCAUCUAUAUCAUUACAAUGAUCAUGCUGUUACUGUUGUUCCAAUUCCAACCAAAUUAUUCUCUCAACUCCUACAAGUGGACCCCAAAUAAAGCACAUACAAUUAACAUUUUCAUUCUUUCACUCUCAUCACUUUAGGCCUACCUCUUCACAACUUUUAUUCAUUCUUUCAAUUUUUCCUUUGUAUAUUGCCAUAAUUGUGUCAGCAACAAUAACAUACAAACCCAACCCAAGUGUAAAUUAAAGAAUGUUAAGAAGUGGAACAUAAGUGUAACUCAAAAUUGAUUUAUAAAAUAAUUUUGUAUUAUAAAUAGACUUUGUCAAGACUUUCAACAAAUAAUCAAAUUUUUAUUUUAUCUUAAACUGAUCAAACCCAAAGGACAUGGUAAGCAUGAUGAAGUGUCCAAAGCAACAUCAUCUUUGAAAAUAUUGUUGAAAUCUUUAUGCUUUCCUACACCCUAAUCCACCCUACAAAAUCUCUUGAUUUUUUUAGAUUUAUGUCUUCAUCUCCUCUUGAGUAAGUUAAGCACUUUUCUUUAACUGCAAUUAACUCACAAAAACACCUGUUCUGAAAUAUGAUAUAUUAAUAUUUUUUAAUAACUUUUUAAUAAUAAAUUAUAUAUUAUUAUUUUAUUAUUCUGGACUAAUCACGAAUUAUCAUAUAAAAGAUAUAAAAAAUUGUAAAAAAAUUGUUAAAUACACUGUUACAUAUACGAAGCAUUCCACUGUGCCACAAGGAGUGUCCCAAAUUCCCAACACAAUUUAAAAGCAAAAUUGACCCUUGUCCCUUUCCUCUGUGUUCUGUAUCAGUUUUUUUCAACAAAUAAAAAACAAGAUUGGUAAGAAAACUUUGAAAAAAUUGCAUGAGUAAUGGUAGAACAAAACUUUGAAAAACAAAUUUUACUUAAAAUUAAUAACUUAAAAAAAAAUUCCAAGGGAAGAAGCUUGUUCACAAAGCAUCAUUCUUUUCUUUCCCUGUAACCUUGGAUGGUUUUGUUUUUUCUACGUACAAAAGCAAAGAAGCAAAGCAUCUUCGUUUCUCGUACACAUCCACAUUGUUAUGUUUUCCCUUGCAAGUUUCAACCUUUUCUUUCCUUAAGAGUCUACCUCUCACCUUUUUACGCCCUUUAUAAGUCCAUUAAUGCACUAUUAGAACUGUCGGUGUAUCUUCUUUUGAAAAAAAUCACUUAAGUUUGGAAUCUCUACGUAAUCCAACCGAUUAAUGUGGUCAAAAUGGGUCAAGAAUUCCAACUUUUUGUUCUUAAUUGCCCAAAAUUUCUGCAGCUGUGCAUAUAUUGAUAAGCAUGCGAAACGCAUGAAUACUUUCCAUUGAAGUUCUCUUGUGUUUGUUUUGGUUGCAUGAAAUGGUUCUCUUUUAUUCUGGUGGUUCAUUUGUUCAUGAGUUGUAGUUCAGAGCCCUGUGUGGGCUCUGAUUUCAUUACACCCAUUUCAAAGUUUUUACCUUUUCUUGCUGGGUGUUUUUGUUUCUGAGAAAUCAAUAACAGGAAACAGUUAAAUUUUCUUAGUUCAAUCUGUUCAUUCAUUCUUUAACCGUGUUUUUUUUCUUCCCGACAAGACCACCCAACUUAAGAUUGUUAGUGUGAGAAACUUCAGAAGAAGGUAAAGUGAGUCCAUCAUGGGCUUUCUAACAGACUCUCACAAGGACUCAUGGCAGCCCAUUAUGACUACAAAGACAAACACACACAGUUACUGGCUUAAUUGGAGAGUUCUUCUUUGUUCAAUAUGGAUUCUGGUUUCAGUGAUCUUGUCAUCGUUGCUUUUAUGGAAGUAUGAGCGUUUGAGAAAACCAGAAACCAACGGAAGCAGGGAAACAGAAAAAGAAACAUCGGCAACUCUGUACGAGGAUGAAACUUGGAAGCCUUGCCUAAAAGGAAUUCACCCUGCAUGGCUCAUGGCUUUCAGAGUGGUGGCAUUUUUUGCGCUUUUGGUGCUUCUCAUAAUCAAUUCCAUUGUUGAUGGAGGAAGCAUUUUCUACUACUAUACUCAGUAAGUUUUCUUCCCUACUUGAAUUUAUCUCCCUUAAAAUUUGCCUGCUAUUGAAAGGGACAUUGUGAAUAGGAGCAUUGUUCUAUGUUGGAGGUAACAUAAACACAAACAUUUGAAGUAUACUAUGUUUUAAACAGAGUUAAUCUCGAACUACAGUCAAGCUGUAAUUUUGCUAAAGGAGUUGUUUGUAUGAUUGAUAUUAUUCUUUGUCUGCUCUUGGAAUUAGUCCUUUAUAAUUUGAGCACCAAUCACUUGUAAAAUUAGUUAGUUAUGAGUCUGAAUAAAGAAUCCUAAGUAACUGAUUACCUGUUUCAUGAUGUCUAUGUAAGCAAAUAGAUGGAAACCACUUUAACUGUAUUGAUAAGGCAUAUUGUGAGAUUGUUUUUGAAGUUUGAUUUGAGUUAAUUUUUUAAUGGUUUGUGAAACAGGUGGACUUUCACUUCAAUCACCAUAUAUUUUGGGGUGAGAACAAGUACCACAUAUCUUACUUUUCUGUUGUGAUGUUACUCUUAUAUGAUUUAGAAUGCAAUACCUUACUUACACUUUUCCUUGUGUGCUUGAUGCUGCAGCUUGGAUCUUUGCUCUCCAUACAUGGAUGCUACCAAUAUCAUAAGAAAGCAACUGGGGAUAAGGUUGAUAAUGUGGAAGCAGAUGCAGAGCAAGGAAUAUAUGAUUCUUCUGCACUACCACAAAGCUCUAAUAAUCUAUCAGACCAAGAGAAAAACUUAAGAGCCUCAGAAGUUGUUAUUCGCCAACAUGCAGGGAUUUGGGGUUAUAUUUUUCAAAUAAUAUUCCAGGUAUACUUUUCAAAUGAAUUUAAGUUCCAUAUUGAAUAAAAACGACAAAGUUGGGAGAUUUCUUCUUCAAAGUACCCAUCAAAAUUGUUAUUAUUAUGAUGAGUUUAGUUCAUAGUACAACAUUGCACUCUGAUUUUACUCAAAAUUGAUUAAGGAGAUCAACAUUCUGAUUAUCCUGCACAGAGUUACAUUUUGUUCCAUGUUUCUUCUUUCAGUCUUUUACUUACAAAAGUGGAAGGGAAAAUAGCUGUUCCAUUUACCACAUAAUUGAUUUUGUCUCUUCACUUGUGAACAGAUUAAUGCUGGUGCAGUCAUGCUCACUGAUUGUGUAUUUUGGUUCAUAAUUGUUCCAUUUCUAACCAUCAAAGAUUACAACCUAAAUUUUGUAAGUAUCAUUUAUAACCUCAUUGACUAACAAUAAUACCUCUUUAUAAUUUCUAUCAUAUAAUUAAGCUAGAUAGCUCUUAACCAUGUGAUAUAACUUUUCUGUGACAGUUGAUAGUGAUUAUGCACUCAAUCAAUGCAGUUUUCCUUAUAGGUGACACAGCUUUAAAUUGUCUGGUGAGUUCCUGCAUUUGAUUCCAUUUAUGAGUCCAUUUCCUAUCCUAAUGCAUCAGAAAAUUCUUACCCUUUACAUUCUUUUUCCUUCUUCAGAGAUUCCCUUGGUUUCGAAUAGGAUACUUUUGCCAGUGGACAAUCAUAUAUGUGAUUUUUCAGUGGAUGGUUCAUGCUUGCAUUUAUAUAUGGUAUGAAGUCUUCAACUAUGUUGUCAUACAUAAUUCAUUCUACUAUGAAAACAUCUUUUACAUCACUGUCUAACAUAAUUUUCUUCUCUGGAAAAAACAGGUGGCCUUAUCCUUUUCUUGAUUUGUCAUCCUCUUAUGCUCCACUAUGGUACUAAUUUAUUUUCAUGUGAAAUUGUUUCAAUUUUAAAUACCAAAAAGGAAAACUAAUAGCUAGUUUUUGAAUUGUUUUUCUUUUUUGGAAAUAAUCCAAAUAUGGGUCUACAAUUUUACAUUGGAUAAAAAUGACAAAUUUAAACAUAUAUAAGAAAAAAAGUCUCACAAAUCUAAUGCUUUGAAGUUGAGUUAAAAAUGAUGUUAAUUAUUUUGUGGAUUAAACUCAAGUUAUAUAUAUAUAUAUAUAUAUAUAUAUAUAUAUAUAUAUAUAUAUAUAUAUAUAUAUAUUCUCUCUUAUAUGAAAUUAUCCCAUCACUUUUGUCUUGUUUUCUUAUCAAAAUUAGAAUUUCAGAGCUUGGGUUAACUUUUAAUAUAAAUGGUAAUUAAAGAAUGCUAUAUUAUGUUUUUACUCGAAUCCUUGAUCUAGCACAUUUAAGAUAUUGCCUUAUUAAUAAGUUGUAAUUGCUAUGCAGGUACUUUGCAGUGACAUUACUGCACAUUCCAUGCUAUGGAAUUUUCGCCUUGUUAAUGAAGCUGAAACACCAUGUUUUGUCAACUCGGUUCUCUGACUCUUAUCAAUGUCAAAUAAAUUCAGCCUAGUUCUUACUCACCCUACAAAAAAGAUAAAGAAGUGUUAGAUAAAAUUCUUAUUAUUUAACAAUAAGAUUUCACACAUAUAAACAAAAUAUACUUUCUUUGUUUGACCAAAACAGUAAUUAGAAUUUUGUUCUUACUCUAACUCUUGUCAAGUAGAGAGCCGUGUAACUAAUUAUGAAUUCAUAAGCACUAAAUCAAGGAUUAUUUAUUAGUGUUAAUAUAUAAGUAUUAUAAUCCAUUCUCCUUGUGUGUAAUAGAUGGGUUCUAAGUCUUUUUAUCAUACAUUUAUUUUUUCUUUUAUUCUUAUAUUUCAUUAUUUUAUUUUUUUUAUUAUAUGGUUCUUUAACUACCAGAUCUCUUGUUUCUUAUUUUUAUACAAUUUAAACACAAUUUAAUUUUUUUCACUUUCUACGUUGUGUCAAAGGGUUAGAUAUUGUGCUAUUGGGAGUAUAAACUUUGUAGUUAAACUUGUAAUGUUAUCACUGUUUUAUGAUUGGUGAUUGUGUGAACAUGUUGGUCACAUUCAAGUCAUCUAUAAACAGGAGCAUUUUCUCUCCUUUAAAAGUAAAUUUUCAAUUAACCUUCAUUUUAUAUUUUGGAUUUUCUUCUAUCUUCUUACCAAUAUAGAUCAUCGAUAUAUCAUGCUAAAGGUUCUCGUUGUGCCCUAAGGACUUGCACAAUAUGUAGUAAUAUGUAGUAAAAAUGCUGACAAAAUUUCGAACCGCAAUUUUCUGAGAUGCAUAAAUUCACUAUCCUUAAGGACUUAUCUAUGGUGUGUUGCGUAAGUCUCCCAAGAUACAACAGGAACUUCUCGAAAAUAUUCGAGGAUCACAUAACUAGCAAGAAACUCUGAUAGAGUUUAUACCCAGGAUAAUUUUGGAAGAGGUAGAGAGAAUGAAAGGAGAAUGAGAAAGACUGAACUUGGUGUUUUGGAAUGGGGGAAAAGCUCUCUAUUUAUAGAGCUAAGAAAGAAUAAAAGAAAUUAAACAAAUCAAUGAUUUUAACGUUGCAAAAUUAAUUGACAUUGAAAAUUUUGAAUGUUAGAAUAUUAUAGUAGAACAACGUUUCUUUUGCAAUAAUAUAACAUUAUUACAAAAAUCCUCCACUUAUUGUAAAAGAAAGUUGAGAGAAAAGAAAAGAAACUUUUAUCCUGGGUCUCAUAGAAUGUAAUGCAUCAUAGCUGGUAUAACAAGUUAUAUGAACCAGUCUUAGAUCGAGAUACUUAACACACAGUGUAGUUGGUAUAGCAAACUAUAUGAACCAAAGACACUUUUUGACGUGUGUUAAAGGUUUAUCAAUCACAAUGCACCCCAUAAUCCUUGUUGUUAUCGCUGUGUUGCACUUGCUAGGCCAUGCGCGUGCCCGGUAUUCAUGAGUGCUCUAGAGAUCAUGCCAAAAUCUCAUGCAAGCGGUCCCACUUGACACUCAUAUAGGUGAUUUCAUCAAGUGUAUGUUGCAAAUCAUACACCACCCAUAAGGGAUAUGAAAAUCAUUAAAAACUUUUUUUAAGCUAAAAUUCUAUCUCCACAUAGAAUUUUAAUGACAAAGUUUAACCUUUCAUAAUGCACUCUCUAACACUUUCACACACACCAUAGGAAGGGACAUAAUUGAUUAAAAUCAAUUUAGUGCUAUCAGAACUAACAAGUGACUUGUUUUUACCCAUAUGAACCUUAUUCAUGGGAUCUCCAAUCACAAAGGUUGGGUUACCAUCACUUGUUUGUUUACAAGUGACUUAAGUCUCAUUCCUCUCGAUGUUUCUAAGAUCAUAUUUCUUCCCAAGGGUUUAGUCAGAGGAUCUGCUAGAUUCCGUUAUGAUUUCACAUAGUCAAUGGAGAUAGUUCCACUCUUUAGCAGCUGCUUCACCAAAUCGUGUUUCAAUUGUAUAUGUCUAUUCUUUCCAUUGUAAUUCUUGUUUUUAGCUAUAGCUAUUGCCAAUUGGCAAUCAUAGUGUAUUGACACCGAUGGGGUUGGUUUCAUUCCUAGUGGAAUGUUUGCUAAGAAGUUUUUCAACCACUCAGCCUCACUACCAGCCAUUUCAAGAGCGACAAUCUCAGAUUCCAUUGUUGAUCUUAUAAUAAUUGUUUGUCUGGCUGAUCUCCAUGUAAUCGCACCACCCCCCAAGUGUUAAUACAUAACCACUAGUGGAUUUUGUCUCAUCUGAAUCAGAGAUCAAGUUAGCAUCGCUAUACCCUUCUAGGACAGUGGGAAAUCCACUAUAUUCAAUGACAUAAUCCAUUGAACCUCUUAAGUAUCUCAUCAUCCUAGCAAGUGCAUCCUAAUGUUCCUGACUUGGAUAUUGAGUGUACCUACUCAAUCUAACUACUGCAUAAGCAAUAUGAAGUCUAGAAAAGUUCAUUCAUUAAGUGCAGUAAGCUCCCAAUUAUCUGGGCAUACUGAGGCUGAGAUAAUGAUUCUCCUCUAUUUUUUUUAUUAAUUUAGAGUUACCAUCAAAGGGGUACUCAUAGGUUUAAAAUCAUAAUACUCAAACUUCUUAAGAAGUUUCUCAAUGUAUUGUUCUUGGGAUAGUAAAAUAUUAUCUCCCUUUCUUAUGAUUCUAACACCUAAAAUCACAUUGACUUCAUCUAUAAACAACUUAUAUUUAAGAUUCUAGAAACCUUAGUUUUAUAGACUAUCUUAUUGCAUAUAUCAAUAAUUAAAUGUCAUUCACACAUAAAUAUAUAAUGACAUAUUCUAUGUUUUUCAGAUUUAGAGUACUAUUAAUAUCAUUAGAUGAAAAGUCAAAUUUAUUUCUUUGAGUAAUUAAGUAAAAUUACCUACACUCAUCCUGUUUUUAAAUCAAAACUGCCACUAUAUUAUUAAAAAAAAAUGCACCAAUGUUAAAUAAAAAUAAUAUAUGCCAAAAGCAUUAAACCACACGUUAGCUUUCCAUCCAAUACCAUGUGCUAAUAUUUGAAAAAUAAUUUCUACAAACUUAACUUUAUAACAAAUCAUAAAAUACCUUGCACUGAAUUCCAUGCCUAAGUAUUAUAGCAACAUAUUGUAUGCCAUGCACCAUAGCAAUCCAUUAUAUGUCGUGCAUUGAACCCAUCACGGUCCCAUAAUAUUGAAUCCAAAUUUUUAUAUAUCAAAUCAUAGUAUAUAUGUACGAAGAUAUGUUCAUAGUACCAAAAAUUGUUUAUCCAAACUAAACAAAACCAAUAUGUUGAAGGCAAAGCUAACAUCGUUUAACAGAAAAAAUAAUCGAGAUGAUCAUUAAAAUAAUUAUGCAUCAAAUUAUAACCAAAACAACAAUUCUAACAAUACUAUCAGUAAUUAUUUUCUCAACACACUUCAUACAUAAAGUCACGACUAUAUACUCUUUUUAUAUUUAAAAAAACUUUCAUAUUUCUUCCCGUGUCAAAUACUUAAGGCGUGUAAUAAAUAGAAAAAUAGUAGUAAAUAAAUUCUAGAGGCUUAACAUGUAUCAGCGCUCGAAAUUUUUUUUUUCAUUUGUUUAAUACAAAACAGGGAACUAAUAUAUUUGAUUCAGCAUCAAUUAAAAAAAACUUUUUUCCUUUUUAAAACAAUAUUCUAAUAAUUUAAUCCAUGUAAAUAAUUAUCACAUAAAACAAAAGAAGAACGAUAGUAACACUGCAUACACUAAACAGAGAUAUGGGAGCAAUUUGAGUAAAGUCACUAGUUUAUGCAAAACAAGAUUCAACCCAUGAAGAAAUUUUCACGGCAAUUACAAGCUGACAAAAUCAAGGCUUUUGUAGCCUCCGCAAACCUAUUGCAGCCAACUCAGCCCUAAUAUCAAGGAUUACAAAUUCAAAAUUUGCAAAACCCAAAAAACACAACUGCAAGCACCAUCAAAAACCCCUCAUAGACUACACACACCAACUCAAAUGACACGUGAAGCUAGUUUUAUACUAGUAGCAUAGCAGACACCACAUUGGAUAACAAUUCAACCAAUUACAAAAGAGUAAUAAUACCAUGACACACUUUUACAUUCAUUUGACACAGCAUACAAGGGUAAAAUGGUCCAAAAAGUACAAAGUUUUGUAGUUUUUCAAGAAAAAAGAGAUUAAAAAGUAAGUAAGGGUAGUGUCAAAUGAAUGUAAAAAAUUUAAGUGUGUCAAAGUUUUAUUUCUCAUUACAAAAUCUUAGAAGUACAAAGUCUGUCAGAGUUUUAAAAUCAAACACCUUUCAUGCAUAACCUAAAUAUCACAGCCAAACUUUUUUGUUUCAAACAUAAGGUAAUAAUUAAACACCCCAGCAUCCUUAUUGGUUAGCAUUAUCCAAAUUAUAAUCAACCCAAAUAUGAUAGAAACUGCAGAUAAACACAUACAGUAGUUCAUGAAGGAAGGACACUCCAUAUUUUAUCUUUUUUAAAUACAACAAUGUCAUUAGACUUUCUGCCAAUUUUUAGAAAUAAAAAUAACACGAAUUAAUAUAUUAUUAUUCAUUCUAUUGAACCCAAAGAAGUGCAGAAUUGAGUGUUGACUCAGAAUGCUACUUUCCUUUGUAAAGCAUUUAUUUGGAGGACCUAAAAUGCAAUAUUCAAUAAAAUCAUGAAAUCCUGUUGGUAAGAGAGAGAAAACCUGCAUUUUUGCAGUAGCACUCCAAGCUGUUUCGCCAUGAUGCACCACAACAAUUUCGGGGACAAUGAAGCUGCAUGGUUCUAUAAAAUCUGCAACCUUCCAACGUUCCAGCCAAACGAGAUCACAUCAUCAGUCAUGCGGAAGCCUCGUCGGAGACGCAACCCACCUUGAAUGUUGAAAUAUUACCCUUGAACAAUGUUUCUUUUGCAAUAAUAUAACAUUAUUACAACACAAUAUACUAGAUAUAAGUUCUUAAAAAUAGUGUUUAGUCAACAUAUAUUAAUAUCAUUAGUCAUGUUUUACUAAAAAAUAAGGAAUAAAAAAGAAAUCAUCCAACUCUGUAGUAAUUAAGUAAGGUGAUUGUUUUGGGUAUGAGGUUGAGGUUUCUUAUUCAAAGCAUUUUAAGUUGUCCUGAAGACUGGAUGGACUCCCUAGUGGUCCUCCAUCGUUCAAGUUACGUUGUUCGCUUUCCUUCUUUCUUGUCAAAGUUGUGUGGAUUGGUAUCUGUCAAAGAUACUCUAACGCUCAAGUCAGUAAUAUAACUGAUUGGUUAGCACAACAAGUGAUGCAUAUAAUGUGCAUAAUGAUCCUAGAGUCUUACCUGAGACCUUUAUUUAUAAUAGUUGUGAUGUAUUUACCUUUCGUUGACCUAAUGACGGCCCAAUCACACCUGAAUUUGCAUUAGGAGCUUAAUGAGUCAUUACCAUUGAUAAUCUGACCAUACUGUUAGGUCAUACCAGGCACGGCCUAGGCCUGAGUGGACGACCCGGGUAGACGGCCUGGAAGGAUGGCUUCGGUGGACGGUUUGGGUGUUCGGCUUGGGUGGUCGGCCUGGGAGGACGACUUGGGAGGAUGGCCUGAGUGGACAACUUGGAAGGAAGGUGUUAGGAUAUACUUUAGGAUAUAUGAUGAUAGGAUANAGGGGUUGAGGAGUAAGCGUGUGGGGAGUGUCGGUUAAAAAGGGGAGGGGAAGUGGGUCAAAGCCUCUAUAAAUAGAGGUAGUGUAAUGCGGUANGGGAUAUCGAGUAUUUUUGUGUAAAGUCAGNCAAUUAGCUUGUAGAGAGGGGUUAUGCCCUCAAUAGGGAGGUUAUGCUCCCAAUCCCAUUCUUGUAAAAAGAAGAUUCUUUCACAGUGAAUAAUAGUCAAAACUCAUUCUUUCUUUACGGUUUCUAUCUUUUGAGUGAGUCCUGUUAGGUUCCAAAACCCAGGAACCUAACAAUUGGUCCAACCUGCCGGAUCAAAGUGGGGUGAAGGAUCAAGAAGUUGCUAGAUCAUCAAGGGAGGACUUUCGAAUCUCCUUAGGAGAGGGCUGCCAGAUCAAGAAGGGAUCAAGAAGGGAUCAAGAAGUGAUCAAGAAAGGUGGAGCAUGGAAGGAAGAAACAAUACCUUGGAGAGGAGGACCAGCGGACAGAAAAUGAGCAUGGCAGAAUUGAAGAUGAGCAUGGNAGAAUCGAAAAUGAACAUGGCAGAAUAUAGAAGAAAUGUGCAAGAAAUAAGAGAAAUGCUGCAAGAAAUCAAGAUUCACAUAAAGGGCUUAGGAAGAAGUGAGGAAUCUAUCAUGAAAGGACAGAAAGAGGGUUCAGACGAAGAGGAGAUGGAGGAAGACAGGGGUGAACAGAAUUGGAGGCAGCAGGUAGAAUUGGCCAGGUUUGAGGGGCUGGAUCCAUUGGGAUGGAUCUCUCAUGCAGAGAAGUUUUUUGACACCUAAAACGUCAAAGAGAAGGAGAGGCUCAGGUUGGCUUACUACUGCAUGGAAGGGGGCACAAUCUAUUGGUUCAGGGCCUGGAAAAAUAAAACCAAGAACCUUUCUUGGAAAGGGCCGAAAGAGGCAUUAAUAAUGGGGUUUGGAGGAAGAGACAGAUGGUCUGUUUUUGAGAAGAAAAGAGAAACGGAAGCUGCUGCAGUUUUGAGUGUUGAUGUGUUUGCAAGAAUUAGAGGGCAGGAUAGGAGCGAAGAAAAUAUUUGUGGGGAGGAAGGCAAUGUUGCAAAUGGUAAUGGAGACAUGGGUGUGACUGUUGUUGGAAAAGUUGAAAAAGCUGUUGAUUUUACUGCUGCAAACUGUGAUGGAGACAUGGGUGUGACUGUUGUUGGAAAAGUUGAAAAAGCUGCUGAUUUUACUGCUGCAAACUGUGAUGNNNNNNNNNNNNNNNNNNNNNNNNNNNNNNNNNNNNNNNNNNNNNNNNNNNNNNNNNNNNNNNNNNNNNNNNNNNNNNNNNNNNNNNNNNNNNNNNNNNNNNNNNNNNNNNNNNNNNNNNNNNNNNNNNNNNNNNNNNNNNNNNNNNNNNNNNNNNNNNNNNNNNNNNNNNNNNNNNNNNNNNNNNNNNNNNNNNNNNNNNNNNNNNNNNNNNNNNNNNNNNNNNNNNNNNNNNNNNNNNNNNNNNNNNNNNNNNNNNNNNNNNNNNNNNNNNNNNNNNNNNNNNNNNNNNNNNNNNNNNNNNNNNNNNNNNNNNNNNNNNNNNNNNNNNNNNNNNNNNNNNNNNNNNNNNNNNNNNNNNNNNNNNNNNNNNNNNNNNNNNNNNNNNNNNNNNNNNNNNNNNNNNNNNNNNNNNNNNNNNNNNNNNNNNNNNNNNNNNNNNNNNNNNNNNNNNNNNNNNNNNNNNNNNNNNNNNNNNNNNNNNNNNNNNNNNNNNNNNNNNNNNNNNNNNNNNNNNNNNNNNNNNNNNNNNNNNNNNNNNNNNNNNNNNNNNNNNNNNNNNNNNNNNNNNNNNNNNNNNNNNNNNNNNNNNNNNNNNNNNNNNNNNNNNNNNNNNNNNNNNNNNNNNNNNNNNNNNNNNNNNNNNNNNNNNNNNNNNNNNNNNNNNNNNNNNNNNNNNNNNNNNNNNNNNNNNNNNNNNNNNNNNNNNNNNNNNNNNNNNNNNNNNNNNNNNNNNNNNNNNNNNNNNNNNNNNNNNNNNNNNNNNNNNNNNNNNNNNNNNNNNNNNNNNNNNNNNNNNNNNNNNNUCGGUUAAAAAGGGGAGGGGAAGUGGGUCAAAGCCUCUAUAAAUAGAGGUAGUGUAAUGCGGUAGGGGAUAUCGAGUAUUUUUGUGUAAAGUCAGACAAUUAGCUUGUAGAGAGGGGUUAUGCCCUCAAUAAGGAGGUUAUGCUCCCAAUCCCAUUCUUGUAAAAAGAAUAUUCUUUCACAGUGAAUAAUAGUCAAAACUCAUUCUUUCUUUACUGUUUCUAUCUUUUGAGUGAGUCCUGUUAGGUUCCAAACCCAAGAACCUAACAGAAGGCCUGGGUGGACAGCCGUGUGGAUAGCCUGGGUGCUCGGCUUGUGUGAUCGGCCUGGGAGGACAACCUGGGUGGACGGCCUGUGUGACACUCGGGCACUGACGAGGGCGGGGAGUGAUCGUCGGUGCAAGAGGCACGGACAAGGAGCGGCUCCUGGUAGGCUUCCAAUGGAAGGGGCACAUGGAAGAAUCGAACAUACACCGGAAUGAGAGGGAUCUAGAGACUAUAUAGGUAUGAGACUAUGCAAUUGAAUGAUAGCUUAAAGGAAUUGAUUUGGCUACUCAUAUCAACAAAUGCAUUUUCUUUUCGGUAGCCUAAUCCAUAAGAAUUCCAUGGUUAAGCGUGCUUAGCCUGGAGUAAUUUAAGGAUGGGUGACCUUCUGGGAAGUUUUCCCGGAGAGUGUGCGAGUGAGGACAAAACACAUUGGAAAGCCUCGUAUUGAUGUGCGAGUGACUAUUGGCAUGGGACUAUACAGUUGAAGGAUAGCUUAAAGGAAUUGAUUUGUCUACUCAUAUCAACGAUCUGGAUGGACAACCUGGGUGUUCGACCUGAUGACCGACAGAUCGCACGAUAUAGUAAUGGAGUAAGCAUAAUGAUAAUCAUAGCACACCUCAUGCUCAAAAGUCCACCUAACCCAAUUACAGGUUAUUUCUUUUCCUUUCUAAAUAUAAUUAUUUUAUGGUAUUGUUUCUCCAAUAACCUAAAAAAGAGCAAUCUAUAAAUAUCUUUCAUAAAACAAUAACUUAUAAAAAAAAUCAUUCAUGUAAUAAUCAUCUUCAUCUAGUGUGUUGCUAGAGCUAUCAAUUUGAUUUCUGGUUUGUGGGUUAACUCAUCCACUUCUAAAAUAAGUCCCUCUUUAUUGACUUGAAAAAUUAGUGGGCUGAAGAAUAUUCUAACCCCUAAAGUCGUCGUAUAAAGUGGAUUUGACUCACUACAACAUUAAAAGAAGAUUUUAGUUAACCCCUAAAUAUUAUUCAAAAUUGUGGAAUCCUUAAUAUAUUUUAAAUUGCAAGUUGACCUCUAAAUAUUUCACAUUAAUGUAAAUUAUCUUUAAUUAGUUUUUAUUAUUUGCAACUUGUUUGCAACAUUGGCCCCAACCUAACUUGAAAAGCUUAAACCUUGGACCCAACCAUACCAUGUCCAAUACAAUCAACUUGACCUUGACUUAACCUAACUUGAUCUCAACCCAAGCUUGACUUAGUAUAACUCAUCUUGACAACAAAUACAAUGUUUUAACUAUUUUGAUCUUGUAUAAAACAAUAAUCAUAAAGGUGUUGUUGUAGAAAACAAAUUUGUGUUGCGAAAAUAUUGUAAAAUAUGUUUUGAAAACAAUUUUGAUUGCUAAAUGAGUGAAUUUAAGAUGAUUAAACUAUGCUAGAGUUCGACUUCACUACUUUUCACUCUCUUGUAUCAAAUCUAUCAACAUAUAUGAAACUGCAAAUGAUCAAGUCAUGGGAGUUUACUUUAGGUGUAACUCUAGGUUCAUUCCUGGCACCUAGAGCCUAAGAUCACCACCCUUCAGUAUUAUUCUGAUACGAUGUCAUUGAAGCUAUCAAAUUACCACUUCUUAACCAAGGCAACUUUUGUACCGCCGAGUUAAUAGUUAAUAAACUAAAUAUGAUUAAGUUAACCCUGAGUUGUAUUUCAAUGAAUAAGAAAUUGCUUUUCAAUGAUUGAUUCUUAUGAAAUCAUAUGCAAAAGAUUAGUAAAACAAAAUGCAAAUACUAAAAAAAUUAAAAGUAAAAAUCUAUCCUAAUGGAAUUAAUAUUGAAGAUUGAUAUAAAUGUGAAUUUAAUGAAAUAACAAAUUAAUAAAAGACUUUAAAACAAAUAUAAUAAAAAGGACUAACUCUAAUAUUUUUCUAAAAUAGAUUCAUCAUUGGUUAUUCACAUAUUAUUGUUCAAUUGAUCAUUGUGUUUUUUUUCAAAUUAAUUAAAGUAAAUUCUUAAUUAAUUUCUUGGCGAUCUUACUAUUAACCAAAGUAGAUUCUCAAUUAAAAGCAAAACCAUUUUAGAUUAUUCAUAAUAAAUUCAACCAAAGUACGCUUAUAAUUAAAUUCUAUUAUGUUUAAUCAUGUAUAUUAUUUUAUCUCCUAACCAAAUAAAAAGUAAAUUAAUUAAAGUACAUUCUCAAUUAGUAGCAAAAACCUAUUCUAUCAUAUGGAAGUUCCUAACUUUAAUCAAAACAUAUUCUCAGUUAAAAUUAAAAGCCUUUAGACUUAUACAAUCAACAUGCAUAUAGAUCAAAACACCUCGUUAAUUAACUAUAGUGUAAAACCAUUACUUUUUUACGUGAUUCAGAAAUAAAAGAUAUAAAUAAAAGAUAAUCUAAAACAAUACAUUAUUUUAACCUACCCUCAGAAGCUAUAAUGAAAUUACAGUGGAACCAAUCUUAGAAACUUAGCCCUCCAUGGAUGGGGGUGGAAUAUAUAAUGAAUGAAAAUAAAAUUAAGAAAAGGGUGGAAAGGAGGUGAGAGAUGUAAUGGAUCAUAACUGUUUUAAGACAAAAUCGUCUAGAGAAUAGACCGACUAAGCAACAUAGGUUUUGAAGUCUAACACAAAGCAUUAAACAAAACAUUGUUGUAUGAAAAGUUGUUUAAAGUAAUAACGUCUAAUGAAGAAAUAUUCUAUAACGUCUAAAGCCAAGAAUAUAAAUAACGUUUUUCUAGACCAAAUUUAAAUGAAUCAGAAAAUCAUAGUGUCUAAAGGAAAGUAUCUUUCCUUAAUUAUUUAAUAAACUAUAAUUAUUUAAUAAACUAUAUGAGCAAAACUAGUCAACGUCUUAUGAAAACAGAAGUCUAUCUCUUGUAUAACACUAACGUCAAAAGAAAUCUUUACUCAAUAUAGUGUUAUAUCAAGCCAAGCCUUCUAAAAGAAAAAUCGUUUAAUGAAUCGCAGCUAAACGCUUUAGCCUUUGAAAAAGUAUCUUAUGUUUAUACAUGUUGUAUGUCUUACCAAUCAAUGCAUUUGUUAACGAAAUGACAAAUGAUAAAAUGUUUUGAACAUGCUACAUUAUCUAACCUUUAUCAACGUUCAAAACAUUUAAUGCAUGUAUGAAAAGGUACUUAGAUGCUUGUAUACUUGGUUUUUUUAUAUUCAUGCAGAUCAGUAAAGCAGACAAAUGUGACCAGAAUCACUACACCUGAGAAAAAGAUGUACUGAGAGAAGAAGAACAUUCUAGGAAUGAUUCCCUUGAAGCCAUGUGUUCUAUCACAUCGUACAAGUUUAAGUUUCACUUAAGUCUAUGAGAAAAAGCUUUGAACCCUACAAAGUAGAAUAAAGUUUGACUUCACAUCUAAAGGCUACCAACUUUCCAAAAGUCAACUUCUUUGUCUAACAAACAUCUUUUAACAGAAGCUAUAUAUAAAAGAAAUCUUGAAGAGAAGAAGACGAUGUUAGUGCAAGAGAGAUAACAUAAGAAGAAUUCAAAUGUGAAAAGAGAAUAGAAAGAAAAGCUUGUCGUGUUCAUAUAUCACCUUUUGAGAGAAAAAUCUUAGCAAAAUACAUAACAUCUCAUACUAUUUAUAUCCUCUCCUUGAGAGCUAUCAUUUGUACUUUUAUCCUUAACAUUAUUUGUGUUGUAAAUUCUAAAAAGAAUUAAAACAAUUGUCUAGAAGUGUUGUCUACAGUUAGAUCUAAAAGUGGCUAAACUCGGUCUAGUCAUGUUAACUAGGAAACCAUAAGUGGUUAGAAUACUUGUUGUAAAUUAUGACUAAUGAUAUCCUAGAGAGGCAAAACUCGAGUAAUCUUGGAAAAUAUUAGUGAAAACAAAGAAUGAUUACAUUCUUUGACUUGAAGUACCUAAAAAACACUUGAAUGGGAAGGGAGGAGGGUGGGUUGAAUAGUAUUAAUGAAAAAAAAAAAUUCACAACCCUUCUAAUAUAGCAUAUUUGUCGAGUUUUGGAUUUAUCGAAUAAGUGCUUAGACGCUCAACUUAAUAAAUGAUUGUAAAAGAUGGUUGCUCUUAACGUGCUAUUUAGAGUGUAGACUCUAGUGUUUGUAAGAACUUCCUUACUUGAAUAAUAAAUAUUAAUGUGGAAGGUUCUUGUAUGUAGGAAUAAAAACACAACUGUAGGUUUUAUAUGAGACACGUUUAGGCAAGAGAGAAAUAACAAUUGCACAAAUAUUUUAAUAUUGGUUCACUUUAACUAAGUUACGUCUAGUCUCCUUUGUAGAGGAUUCUACUAUAAUCUUCAACAAGAUUACAAUUGAUUAUUCGUACCACUCCUGGUCUUUUCAUUCAGUGAAUAACCUCUCAUGCUACCCUAGACUAGAUGGGUAUUCUCACCACUUCUGGUCUUCUCAAUCAGCAAAUAACAUCAUGUUACCCUAGAGUAGAUGUGUAUCGCACCACUCCUAGUAUUAAACAACUUUGCCUAGAUCUCCUUAACUCAACCAAGUUUAACAAGUGUUUUAAUUCUUUUCAGAAUUACAAUCA
rnacentral:lncRNA from 1 species